CUUCUUUGUGCUCGGGUUAGGAGGAGCUAGGCUGCCAUCAGACCAGUGCACAUACGGGGUUGCUCUUUUGCUCAUAAGAGGGGCUUCGCUGGCAGUCUGAACGGCAAGCUUGAGUCAGGAUCCUUAAUUAAGAUCCUCAAUUGGCUGGAGGGCGGAUCUCGCGAGUAGGGUACAAGGCACUAUGAAAUGAUCUAGUUUCGUGGGUGAGGGGCUGAAGGGCCUAUGAUGCACGGAGGCGGGGAAAGGAUUUAGAGAUAACAUGGUUUGAAAGGCGGGACCUGGUGCGGGGACGCUUUUGGGAGGAGUCUUCUCCCCAGCCUUAGCUGGUUUCAUGAUUUCUUUGCGUCUGUAGGCGACGCGGUAGAAAUAUUGCUUCGGUGGGUGACGCGGUACAGCUGCCGAAGGGCGUUCGUUACGGGAAUGCCGAAGCGUGGGAAAAAGGGAGCGGUGGCAGAAGACGGGGAUGAACUCAAGACAGAGCCAGAGGCUAAGAAGAGUAAGACGACCGCAAAGAAAAAUGACAAAGAGGCAGCAGGAGAGGGCCCAGCCCUGUAUGAGGACCCCCCAGAUCAGAAAACCUCACCCAGUGGCAAACCUGCCACACUCAAGAUCUGCUCUUGGAAUGUGGAUGGGCUUCGAGCCUGGAUUAAGAAGAAAGGAUUAGAUUGGGUAAAGGAAGAAGCCCCAGAUAUACUGUGCCUUCAAGAGACCAAAUGUUCAGAGAACAAACUACCAGCUGAACUUCAGGAGCUGCCUGGACUCUCUCAUCAAUACUGGUCAGCUCCUUCGGACAAGGAAGGGUACAGUGGCGUGGGCCUGCUUUCCCGCCAGUGCCCACUCAAAGUUUCUUACGGCAUAGGCGAGGAGGAGCAUGAUCAGGAAGGCCGGGUGAUUGUGGCUGAAUUUGACUCGUUUGUGCUGGUAACAGCAUAUGUACCUAAUGCAGGCCGAGGUCUGGUACGACUGGAGUACCGGCAGCGCUGGGAUGAAGCCUUUCGCAGGUUCUUGAAGGGCUUGGCUUCCCGAAAGCCCCUUGUGCUGUGUGGAGACCUCAAUGUGGCACAUGAAGAAAUUGACCUUCGCAACCCCAAGGGAAACAAAAAGAAUGCUGGCUUCACGCCACAAGAGCGCCAAGGCUUUGGGGAAUUACUGCAGGCUGUGCCACUGGCUGACAGCUUUAGGCACCUCUACCCCAACACACCCUAUGCCUACACCUUUUGGACUUACAUGAUGAAUGCUAGAUCCAAGAAUGUUGGUUGGCGCCUUGAUUACUUUUUGUUGUCCCACUCUCUGUUAACUGCAUUGUGUGACAGCAAGAUCCGUUCCAAGGCCCUCGGCAGUGAUCACUGUCCUAUCACCCUAUACCUAGCACUGUGACACCACCCCUAAAUCACUUUGAGCCUGGGAAAUAAGCUCCCUCCUCCUUUAAACACUCUUCAGAGAAAUCUGCAUUCUAUUUCUCAUCUAUAAAAAUAGGAAUCCUCCAACCAGGCUCCUGUGAUAGACUUAGAGUUCUUUUAAGCCGAAGAUUUUUUAUUUGAGGGUUUUUUGUUUUUUAAAAUAAAUUGAACAAAGACUACUAAUGACUUUGUUUGAA
rnacentral:sRNA from 1 species